UUUGUCCAUGAAAGAGUUGAAAGCAGAGAAGUUGAACCAGUUUAUAUUAGCUCCAAAAAUCAAGUUGCAGAUUUGUUAACCAAGGCCCUUGGAGCUUAGCACCUCAACUCUCUACUGAGCAAGUUGGGCAUUCGAAAUCUACAUGCUCCAACUUGAGGGAGAGUAUUGAAAAUGCAUUAUUCUGUGCAUAAUUAUCUCUCCUUGUUUCACUCCCAAUCAAAGAUCCACGCAUAUCUCCAUCAAUUAUUUUUAAUUCUCUUUUAUUUGUUCAUUCGUUUGGUUUAUUGUUUUGCAUAUUUAAGUCCCUUUCUUCUUUGAAUUUUAUAAUCAGAAAAAGGCAUAUGCCAAAUGAAUAAAACUCUGAUUACCAAUUUCUAUAAAGCAUACCAUUGCUUGGUUAAGCAUACCAUUACUGAUGGUGAGAGAAAUCAGGAAGACCAUGAGACGAUUCAUCAAAUGGAAGCAAGUUGAUCAAUUUAGAUGAUAUUGUUAGCUAGUUUUGGUGAAGAACAUCACUUGGUAGGACGUUAACAGGUCGAAGCUAGUAAUUAUUGUAUCCAAAGAUCCGAUCCUACAGUCGUUUGUAAAGCUCUUAACGGUGCUCGUGUUCAAGAUCUCGGAUUAGUUUGGUUGAAGAUGCUAUAUAAAAUGUCAACUGGACACUUUCCAAAAACACACUAUGUGUGUCAAAUAUGUUUACAUUUUGCAAAUAUGGUCCAAUACA